UACAGAGGUCUCAAGCGUUGUUCGGAUUCAUUGGGCGUAAAGGGUGCGUAGGUGGCGCCGUAAGUCAGGUGUGAAAUUUCGGAGCUUAACUCCGAAACUGCAUUUGAUACUGCGGUGCUUGAGGACUGGAGAGGAGACUGGAAUUUACGGUGUAGCAGUGAAAUGCGUAGAGAUCGUAAGGAAGACCAGUGGCGAAGGCGGGUCUCUGGGCCGAUACUGACG
rnacentral:rRNA from 1 species